rnacentral:rRNA from 1 species
UGGGGAAUUUUGGACAAUGGGCGAAAGCCUGAUCCAGCAAUGCCGCGUGUGUGAAGAAGGCCUUCGGGUUGUAAAGCACUUUUGUCCGGAAAGAAAUCCUUGGCUCUAAUACAGUCGGGGGAUGACGGUACCGGAAGAAUAAGCACCGGCUAACUACGUGCCAGCAGCCGCGGUAAUACGUAGGGUGCAAGCGUUAAUCGGAAUUACUGGGCGUAAAGCGUGCGCAGGCGGUUUGCUAAGACCGAUGUGAAAUCCCCGGGCUCAACCUGGGAACUGCAUUGGUGACUGGCAGGCUAGAGUAUGGCAGAGGGGGGUAGAAUUCCACGUGUAGCAGUGAAAUGCGUAGAGAUGUGGAGGAAUACCGAUGGCGAAGGCAGCCCCCUGGGCCAAUACUGACGCUCAUGCACGAAAGCGUGGGGAGCAAACAGGAUUAGAUACCCUGGUAGUCCACGCCCUAAACGAUGUCAACUAGUUGUUGGGGAUUUUAUUUCCUUAGUAACGUAGCUAACGCGUGAAGUUGACCGCCUGGGGAGUACGGUCGCAAGAUUAAAACUUAAAGGAAUUGACGGGGUCAUAGCUGUUUCC